GCAGUGGGGAAUAUUGGACAAUGGGCGAAAGCCUGAUCCAGCAAUGCCGCGUGUGUGAAGAAGGCCUUCGGGUUGUAAAGCACUUUCAGCAGGGAGGAUAAUGACGUUACCUGCAGAAGAAGCACCGGCUAACUUCGUGCCAGCAGCCGCGGUAAUACGAAGGGUGCAAGCGUUAAUCGGAAUUACUGGGCGUAAAGCGCGCGUAGGCGGUUUGUUAAGUCAGAUGUGAAAGCCCUGGGCUCAACCUGGGAAUUGCAUUUGAUACUGGCAGGCUAGAGUGUGGUAGAGGGAAGUGGAAUUCCAGGUGUAGCGGUGAAAUGCGUAGAUAUCUGGAGGAACAUCAGUGGCGAAGGCGACUUCCUGGACCAACACUGACGCUGAGGCGCGAAAGCGUGGGUAGCAAACAGGAUUAGAUACCCUGGUAGUCCACGCCGUAAACGAUGAGAACUAGAUGUUGGGAAGUUUAACUUCUUAGUGUCGCAGCUAACGCG
rnacentral:rRNA from 1 species